rnacentral:tRNA from 1 species
GCGUCCGUAGCUCAGCUGGAUAGAGCGCCGGACUUCGAAUCCGUAGGUCGCAGGUUCGAGUCCUGCCGGGCGCG